CGGAAUUAUUGGGCGUAAAGCGCACGUAGGCGGCUUGGCAAGUCGGAUGUGAAAGCCCUCGGCUCAACCAAGGAAGUGCAUCCGAAACUGCUGAGCUUGAGUACUUAAGAGGAUCGCGGAAUUCCCGGUGUAGAGGUGAAAUUCGUAGAUAUCGGGAGGAACACCAGUGGCGAAGGCGGCGAUCUGGGAAGAUACUGACGCUGAGGUGCGAAAGCCAGGGGAGCGAACGGG
rnacentral:rRNA from 1 species